UACAGAGACCUCAAGCGUCAUCCGGAAUCAUUGGGCGUAAAGCGUACCGAUAGGUGGUUUUACAAGUCAGAAGUGAAAUCUCUCAGCUUAACUGGGAGACUGUCUUUUGAAACUGUAAAACUAGAGGGGCAAAGAGGAAGCUGGAACGAACGGUGUAGUAGUGAAAUGCGUUGAUAUCGUUCGGAACACCAAUAGCGUAGGCAGGCUUCUGGGUGCCACCUGACACUGCUAGGACGAAAGCGUGGGGAGCGAAUGGG
rnacentral:rRNA from 1 species